CUUUGCAGGGACAUGGAUGAAUCUGGAGAACAUCAUUCUCAGCAAACUGACACAAGAACAGAAAAUGAAAUACCGCAUAUUCUCACUCAUAGGCGGGUUUUGGGGUACAUGUGAAGAACAUGCAAGAUUGUUGCAUAGGGACAUGGAUGAAUCUGGAGAACGUCAUCCUCAGCAAACUGACACAAGAACAGAAAAUGAAACACCGCAUAUUCUCACUCAUAGGCGGGUGAUGAAAAAUGAGAACACAUGGACACAGGGAGGGGAGUACUAAACACUGGGGUCUAUUGGGGGGAAAAGGGGAGGGCCAGUGGGAGGGGGAGGUGGGGAAGAAUAGCCUGGGGAGAAAUGCCAAAUGUGGGUGAAGGGGAGAAAGGAAGCAAAACACACUGCCAUGUGUGUGCCUACGUAACUGUCUUGCAUGCUCUGCUCAUGUACCCCAAAACCUAAAAUGCAAUAAAAAAAUUAA
rnacentral:lncRNA from 1 species